rnacentral:lncRNA from 1 species
AGGUAUACCCUAGGAUUUCCUUUACUCAGUCUUAAAGGUGGUGCAAAAUGGAGAACGAAGUUUGGGAUUAGUUUUUCUUGUCAGAAUGCUUCCUGGAACAUAGACUGGAAAGCUGCUCUAAAGUGUCAUGCUAAGCAUGUCUAUACUGUUCUUUCAUCAGCUGGAUUAAGAAUAAUUUUUCAGUCAGGAGGAACAAUACAAUAAUCACCUUGGAUGCUAUACUAAC